rnacentral:misc_RNA from 1 species
AAACUGCGAUAAGUAGUGUGAAUUGCAUUUAGUGAAUCAUCGAAUCUUUGAAUGCACCCUGCACUCACUGGUAUUCCGGUGAGUACGCCUGUUUCAGUAUCAUUGAAAACACACAAUCAAAACAUUUUCUUUGGUUUGAUUGGCUUUGGGUCUAUCAAAAAGUUUGGCUUGUUUCUUACAAGCCAAGCGGCCUGAAAUAUAUUGUCUGGCUAAUUGCAUCGUUGAUGAUCGCUAUUAGACUUUGGCUUUUUUAAAUGAACUGGAGGUUGAUUAACCAGUUUUAGCUUUAGUCAAAUGGUCAUUGUAAAAAAAAUCUCGAUCUUGGCUAGGUGUUUAUAGCCGAAAAUUUUUUUUUGGCUAUAACCGAAACCAAUAUAAUCACAUUUAGUUAUCGAUCUGAAAUCAGGUGGGACUACCCGCUGAACUUAAGC